GACGAACGCUGGCGGCGUGCUUAACACAUGCAAGUCGAACGGCAAGGCCCUGCUUUUGUGGGGUGCUCGAGUGGCGAACGGGUGAGUAACACGUGAGUAACCUGCCCUUGACUUUGGGAUAACUUCAGGAAACUGGGGCUAAUCCCGGAUCGGAGCUCCCGCUGCAUGGUGGGGGUUGGAAAGUUUCGGCGGUUGGGGAUGGACUCGCGGCUUAUCAGCUUGUUGGUGGGGUAGUGGCUUACCAAGGCUUUGACGGGUAGCCGGCCUGAGAGGGUGACCGGCCACAUUGGGACUGAGAUACGGCCCAGACUCCUACGGGAGGCAGCAGUGGGGAAUAUUGCACAAUGGGCGGAAGCCUGAUGCAGAAACGCCGCGUGCGGGAUGACGGCCUUCGGGUUGUAAACCGCUUUAGCCUGUGACGAAGCGGGAGUGACGGUAAUGGGUAAAGAAGCACCGGCUAACUACGUG
rnacentral:rRNA from 1 species